AGUGAACGCUGGCGGCAGGCCUAACACAUGCAAGUCGAGCGGAUGAAGGGAGCUUGCUCGUGGUUUCAGCGGCGGACGGGUGAGUGAUGCCUAGGAAUCUGCCUAGUAGUGGUGGAUAACGGCCGGAAACGGGCGCUAAUACCGCAUACGUCCUGAGGGAGAAAGUGGGGGAGCUUCGGACCUUACGCUAUCACACGAGCCUAGGUCGGAUUAGCUAGUUGGUGGGGUAAAGGCCUACCAAGGCGACGAUCCGUAACUGGUCUGAGAGGAUGAUCAGUCACACUGGAACUGAGACACGGUCCAGACUCCUACGGGAGGCAGCAGUGGGGAAUAUUGGACAAUGGGCGAAAGCCUGAUCCAGCCAUACCGCGUGUGUGAAGAAGGUCUUCGGAUUGUAAAGCCCUUUUAGUUGGAAAGAAAAGCAGUAGGUUAAUACCUUGCUGUUUUGACGUUACCCAAAGAAUAAGCACCGGCUAACUUCGUG
rnacentral:rRNA from 1 species